rnacentral:lncRNA from 1 species
AUGAAAAGAGAAAGAGACGAACUACACCAGCGAUAAGUGAAAAAUAAACUACACCGAAGACCCGAGGGACCUCGUCUCAACGAGGAAGGAUACUCCUAUCAAAAAAAAAAAAAAACCUCAGCCACUAAAAGGAAACUCGGCACAGGCCGAGGACAAAUUGACUUCCUCAAAGUAAUGAAAAGUUUGGAUCCCCAAGCUC